rnacentral:rRNA from 1 species
GACGAACGCUGGCGGCGUGCUUAACACAUGCAAGUUGAGCGGAAAGGCCACUUCGGUGGUACUCGAGCGGCGAACGGGUGAGUAACACGUGAGUAAUCUGCCCCUCACUUUGGGAUAGCCACCGGAAACGGUGAUUAAUACCGGAUAUGACCAUAUGUCGCAUGGCGUGUGGUGGAAAGUUUUUCGGUGAGGGAUGUGCUCGCGGCCUAUCAGCUUGAUGGUGAGGUAAUGGCUCACCAUGGCUUCGACGGGUAGCCGGCCUGAGAGGGUGACCGGUCACACUGGGACUGAGACACGGCCCAGACUCCUACGGGAGGCAGCAGUGGGGAAUAUUGGACAAUGGGCGGAAGCCUGAUCCAGCAACGCCGCGUGAGGGAUGACGGCCUUCGGGUUGUAAACCUCUUUCAGUACCGACGAAGCGCAAGUGACGGUAGGUACAGAAGAAGCACCGGCCAACUACGUG